rnacentral:rRNA from 1 species
ACGGGUGAGUAACACGUAUGCAAUCCACCUGUAACAGGGGGAUAACCCGGAGAAAUCCGGACUAAUACCCCAUAAUAUGGGCGCUCCGCAUGGAGAGUCCAUUAAAGAGAGCAAUCUUGGUUACAGACGAGCAUGCACUCCAUUAGCCAGUUGGCGGGGUAACGGCCCACCAAGGCGACGAUGGAUAGGGGUUCUGAGAGGAAGGUCCCCCACAUUGGAACUGAGACACGGUCCAA